UACUAAGGGGGCUAGCGUUGUUCGGAAUUACUGGGCGUAAAGCGUGCGCAGGCGGUUCUUCAAGUCAGUGGUGAAAGCCCGGAGCUCAACUCCGGAACUGCCAUUGAAACUGUAGAGCUAGAGUACGAGAGAGGUGAGUGGAAUUCCCAGUGUAGAGGUGAAAUUCGUAGAUAUUGGGAAGAACACCGGUGGCGAAGGCGGCUCACUGGCUCGUAACUGACGCUGAGGCGCGAAAGCGUGGGGAGCAAACGGG
rnacentral:rRNA from 1 species